AUACUUACUUGUCAGGGGAGACACCAUGAGCAGGCAGGUGGUUUUCCCAGGGCAAGACUCAUCCCUUGCACUCCGGGUGUGCUGACCUCUGCAAUUUCCCCAAAUGUGGGAAACUUGACAUGCCUAGAGAUGUAGGCAGCAUCUCUAG
ensembl:snRNA U1 U1 spliceosomal RNA